rnacentral:rRNA from 1 species
GUGAGGAAUAUUGCGCAAUGGAGGCAACUCUGACGCAGCCAUGCCGCGUGCAGGAAGAAGGCGCUACGCGUUGUAAACUGCUUUUAACCGGGAAGAAACCCCAGGACGUGUCCUGGGUUGACGGUACCGGAGGAAUAAGCACCGGCUAACUUCGUGCCAGCAGCCGCGGUAAUACGAAGGGUGCAAGCGUUAUCCGGAUUCAUUGGGUUUAAAGGGUGUGUAGGCGGAGCGUUAAGUCAGUGGUGAAAUCCUGCAGCUUAACUGUAGACUUGCCAUUGAUACUGGCGCUCUUGAGUGCGCUUGAAGUGGGCGGAAUGUGCCGUGUAGCGGUGAAAUGCUUAGAUAUGGCACAGAACACCAAUUGCGAAGGCAGCUCACUAAGGCGAUACUGACGCUGAGGCACGAAAGCGUGGGGAUCGAACAGGAUUAGAUACCCUUGUAGUCC